rnacentral:tRNA from 2 species
GGGCUGGUAGAUCAGUGGAAGAUCGCCUCCUUGGCAUGGAGGAGGCCCGGGGUUCAAAUCCCCGCCAGUCCA